UUGAAACACCAGUUCUUAUAUGAUCGCUGAAGUUAAGCAACACUAAGCCUGGUCAGUAUCGAGAUGGGUGACCACUUGGGAAUGCCAGGUGCUGGAAG